UACGGAGGGGGCGAGCGUUGUCCGAAGUUACUGGGCGUAAAGCGCGUGUAGGCGGGUUGCCAAGUCCGCUGUGAAAGCCCGAGGCUCAACCUCGGAGGGUCGGUGGAUACUGGCAGUCUUGAAGGUGCUAGGGGGAGAUGGAAUUACCGGUGUAGCGGUGAAAUGCGCAGAUAUCAGGAAGAACACCCGUGGCGAAGGCGGCUCUCUGGGACGGUACUGACGCUGAGACGCGAAAGCGUGGGGAGCGAACAGG
rnacentral:rRNA from 1 species